GUGCACCAGGCGCGAAUACUUCACACUGUGCGAAAGCACGAUGAGGGAAUCCCAAGUGCUUGCACGUAAGUGUAAGCUGUUUCUCUGUCUAAAACGCAGAGAGAGUAAGGGCUGGGUAAGACGGGUGCCAGCCGGCCGCGGUAAUACCUGCAGCUCAAGUGGUGACCGUUAUUAUUGGGGCCUAAAACGUCCGUAGCCGGUUUAAUAAAUGCCUGGGUAAGUUGUGUAGCUUAACUAUACGAAUUCCGGGUA
rnacentral:rRNA from 1 species